UUUUUGUUUGUUGUUUUCUAGUACUACUAUAAUUCCUUAACCCAGCAGUACCUUUACUGGGAUGGGGAAAAAGAGACCUACGUGCCAGCUGCAGAGUCUAGCUCCCACCAGCAGACGGGCCUGCCUCCUGCAAAAGAGGGGAAAGAGAAGAAGGAGAAACCCAAGAGCAAAACAGCCCAGCAGAUUGCCAAAGACAUGGAACGCUGGGCUAAGAGUUUGAAUAAGCAGAAAGAAAACUUUAAAAAUAGCUUUCAGCCUGUCAAUUCCUUGAGGGAAGAAGAAAGGAGAGAAUCUGCUGCAGCAGACGCUGGCUUUGCUCUCUUUGAGAAGAAGGUAAUAGCAGGAAUGGCCAGUACGUCAUGAUGGGAACUUACCUAAAACUUGAGUCUCAUGGCUUGUCCUCUGUUUCCCAGGGAGCCUUAGCUGAAAGGCAGCAGCUCAUCCCAGAAUUGGUGCGAAAUGGAGAUGAGGAGAAU
rnacentral:sRNA from 1 species